CCGAUUCAGUCAUUGGGGAGUAGCCUGUUCCGGACAGUUUCUGGAAAAUUCGUAUCAACAUACUCGUUUAAAAUAAAACGUGGUGCGAAUGCCUAAAGAGCCAAGCAAGAAGGCUCUGAAUGGU
rnacentral:sRNA from 2 species